rnacentral:tRNA from 1 species
GCGAAGGUGGCGGAAUUGGUAGACGCGCUAGCUUCAGGUGUUAGUGUCCUUACGUACGUGGGGGUUCAAGUCCCCCCCCUCGCACCA